rnacentral:siRNA from 1 species
AUAGACCUACAAACAAAACAGUUG